rnacentral:rRNA from 1 species
GUCGAGCGGAAACGAGUUAUCUGAACCUUCGGGGAACGAUAACGGCGUCGAGCGGCGGACGGGUGAGUAAUGCCUAGGAAAUUGCCCUGAUGUGGGGGAUAACCAUUGGAAACGAUGGCUAAUACCGCAUGAUGCCUACGGGCCAAAGAGGGGGACCUUCGGGCCUCUCGCGUCAGGAUAUGCCUAGGUGGGAUUAGCUAGUUGGUGAGGUAAGGGCUCACCAAGGCGACGAUCCCUAGCUGGUCUGAGAGGAUGAUCAGCCACACUGGAACUGAGACACGGUCCAGACUCCUACGGGAGGCAGCAGUGGGGAAUAUUGCACAAUGGGCGCAAGCCUGAUGCAGCCAUGCCGCGUGUGUGAAGAAGGCCUUCGGGUUGUAAAGCACUUUCAGUCGUGAGGAAGGUAGUGUAGUUAAUAGCUGCAUUAUUUGACGUUAGCGACAGAAGAAGCACCGGCUAACUCCGUGCCAGCAGCCGCGGUAAUACGGAGGGUGCGAGCGUUAAUCGGAAUUACUGGGCGUAAAGCGCAUGCAGGUGGUUUGUUAAGUCAGAUGUGAAAGCCCGGGGCUCAACCUCGGAAUAGCAUUUGAAACUGGCAGACUAGAGUACUGUAGAGGGGGGUAGAAUUUCAGGUGUAGCGGUGAAAUGCGUAGAGAUCUGAAGGAAUACCGGUGGCGAAGGCGGCCCCCUGGACAGAUACUGACACUCAGAUGCGAAAGCGUGGGGAGCAAACAGGAUUAGAUACCCUGGUAGUCCACGCCGUAAACGAUGUCUACUUGGAGGUUGUGGCCUUGAGCCGUGGCUUUCGGAGCUAACGCGUUAAGUAGACCGCCUGGGGAGUACGGUCGCAAGAUUAAAACUCAAAUGAAUUGACGGGGGCCCGCACAAGCGGUGGAGCAUGUGGUUUAAUUCGAUGCAACGCGAAGAACCUUACCUACUCUUGACAUCCAGAGAACUUUCCAGAGAUGGAUUGGUGCCUUCGGGAACUGUGAGACAGGUGCUGCAUGGCUGUCGUCAGCUCGUGUUGUGAAAUGUUGGGUUAAGUCCCGCAACGAGCGCAACCCUUAUCCUUGUUUGCCAGCGAGUAAUGUCGGGAACUCCAGGGAGACUGCCGGUGAUAAACCGGAGGAAGGUGGGGACGACGUCAAGUCAUCAUGGCCCUUACGAGUAGGGCUACACACGUGCUACAAUGGCGCAUACAGAGGGCGGCCAACUUGCGAAAGUGAGCGAAUCCCAAAAAGUGCGUCGUAGUCCGGAUUGGAGUCUGCAACUCGACUCCAUGAAGUCGGAAUCGCUAGUAAUCGUGGAUCAGAAUGCCACGGUGAAUACGUUCCCGGGCCUUGUACACACCGCCCGUCACACCAUGGGAGUGGGCUGCAAAAGAAGUAGGUAGUUUAACCUUCGGGGGGACGCU